AUGAACGCUGGCGGCGUGCCUAAUCCAUGCAAGUCGAGCGAACAGACGAGGAGCUUGCUCCUCUGACGUUAGCGGCGGACGGGUGAGUAACACGUGGAUAACCUACCUAUAAGACUGGGAUAACUUCGGGAAACCGGAGCUAAUACCGGAUAAUAUAUUGAACCGCAUGGUUCAAUAGUGAAAGACGGUUUUGCUGGCACUUAUAGAUGGAUCCGCGCCGCAUUAGCUAGUUGGUAAGGUAACGGCUUACCAAGGCAACGAUGCGUAGCCGACCUGAGAGGGUGAUCGGCCACACUGGAACUGAGACACGGUCCAGACUCCUACGGGAGGCAGCAGUAGGGAAUCUUCCGCAAUGGGCGAAAGCCUGACGGAGCAACGCCGCGUGAGUGAUGAAGGUCUUCGGAUCGUAAAACUCUGUUAUUAGGGAAGAACAAAUGUGUAAGUAACUAUGCACGUCUUGACGGUACCUAAUCAGAAAGCCACGGCUAACUACGUG
rnacentral:rRNA from 1 species